rnacentral:rRNA from 1 species
AUUCUUUCGGGAUGACGAAUUUAGUGACUUAGUGGCGGACGGGUGAGUAACGCGUGGGUAACCUGCCUUACACAGGGGGAUAACAGUUAGAAAUGACUGCUAAUACCGCAUAAAACAGCAGCACCGCAUGGUGCAACUGUCAAAGAUUUAUCGGUGUAAGAUGGACCCGCGUCUGAUUAGCUGGUUGGCGGGGUAACGGCCCACCAAGGCGACGAUCAGUAGCCGGCCUGAGAGGGUGAUCGGCCACAUUGGGACUGAGACACGGCCCAAACUCC